rnacentral:tRNA from 2 species
GCCCCGGUAGCCCAGCGGCAGAGGCGAUGGAUUCAAAACCCAUUCAGCGUCGGUUCGAAUCCGACUCGGGGCA